GGAGUGUGAAGCGGCGCGAGGAUGGAAAUAAUGCGUCUAUAAGUCAUGACUAAGUUUUGAAGCAGGAAUAUCUGGAGGAGUAUCAGCUAAACUGAGAUCUGCUGUGAAGAUGGUGUUUGUUAAAGAGGAGAGAGAGGAAGACAUGAGUGAACCAGAAACCUGGAAAAUAAAACACGAGAAACCAGAACCAUGGGGAAUAAAACAGGAGGAAACAGAACCCAGGAGAAUAAAACAGGAGGAACCAGAAACCUGGAGAAUAAAACAGGAGGAACCAGAAACCCGGAGAAUAAAACAGGAG